GGCAGUGUGGCACAGGGGUUAAGGAGCAGGGCUCACAACCCAAGGGUUGCUGGUUUGAUUCCCAGGCAGGCCACUGCUG